rnacentral:rRNA from 1 species
GAUGAACGCUGGCGGCGUGCCUAAUACAUGCAAGUCGAGCGAACGGACGAGAAGCUUGCUUCUCUGAUGUUAGCGGCGGACGGGUGAGUAACACGUGGAUAACCUACCUAUAAGACUGGGAUAACUUCGGGAAACCGGAGCUAAUACCGGAUAAUAUUUUGAACCGCAUGGUUCAAAAGUGAAAGACGGUCUUGCUGUCACUUAUAGAUGAAUCCGCGCUGCAUUCGCUAGUUGGUAAGGUAACGGCUUACCAAGGCAACGAUGCAUAGCCGACCUGAGAGGGUGAUCGGCCACCCUGGAACUGAGACACGGUCCCGACUCCGGCGCGGGGCAGCAGUAGGGAAUCCUCCGCAAUGGGCCAAUGCCUGAUGGAGCAACGCCGCCUGAGUCAUGAAGGUCUUCUGAUCGUAAAGCUCUGUUAUUAGGGAAGAACAUAUGUGUAAUUACCUGUGCACAUCUUGACGGUACCUAAUCAGAAAGCCACGGCUAACUACGUG